rnacentral:rRNA from 1 species
CCCCCAUUCUGGGGCUUACAGGUUUCUGGGGGGGGAAAAAAGCCCCCGGGAAACUCCUUCCUGGGGGUUGCAGUUUUUUUGGGGGAGAAAAAACCCCGACUGGGACAACCCGAUGAAACUCGGGCUAUUACCGGAUGACGUGAACACACAUAAGUGUGUUCACUAAAGGAAGCUUCGGCCUCCGCAUCGGGAGGAGCCCGCGGCCCAUUAGCUUGUUGGUGGGGUAAAGGCCCACCAAGGCGACGAUGGGUAGCUGGUCUGAGAGGACGAUCAGCCACACUGGGACUGAGACACGGCCCAGACUCCUACGGGAGGCAGCAGUGGGGAAUCUUGCGCAAUGCGCGAAAGCGUGACGCAGCAACGCCGCGUGAGGGAAGACGGCCUUCGGGUUGUAAACCUCUUUCAGGAGGGACGAAGGUUCGCCGGUGAACAGCCGUGCGGAUUGACGGUACCUCCAGAAGAAGCCCCGGCUAACUACGUGCCAGCAGCCGCGGUAAUACGUAGGGGGCAAGCGUUGUCCGGAAUCAUUGGGCGUAAAGCGCGCGUAGGCGGCCCUGUAAGUCCGUUGUGAAAGUCAAAGGCUCAACCUUUGAAAGCCGAUGGAUACUGCAGGGCUAGAGUCCGGAAGAGGCGAGUGGAAUUCCUGGUGUAGCGGUGGAAUGCGCAGAUAUCAGGAGGAACACCAAUAGCGAAGGCAGCUCGCUGUGACGGUACUGACGCUGAGUCGCGAAAGCGUGGGGAGCGAACAGGAUUAGAUACCCUGGUAGUCCACGCCGUAAACGAUGGGCACUAGGUGUGGGAGGUGUCGACUCCUCCCGUGCCGUCGCUAACGCACUAAGUGCCCGGCCUGGGGAGU